AACGCUAGCUACAGGCUUAACACAUGCAAGUCGAACGGAGUAGCAAUACUCAGCGGCAAACGGGUGAGUAACACGUAUCCAACCUAACCUCUACUCGGGUAUAGCCUUUCGAAAGGAAGAGUAAUCCCUGAUGUUAUAUGUGAUUCACAUGCAUUGCAUAUCAAAGAUUUAUCGGUAGAGGGUGGGGAUGCGUUCCAUUAGAUAGUCGGCGGGGUAACGGCCCACCGAGUCGAUGAUGGAUAGGGGUUCUGAGAGGAAGGUCCCCCACAUUGGAACUGCGACACGGUCCAAACUCCUACGGGAGGCAGCGGUGAGGAAUAUUGGUCAAUGGCCGGAAGGCUGAACCAGCCAAGUAGCGUGAAGGAUGGCGGCCCUAUGGGUUGUAAACUUCUUUUUUAUGGGAAUAACGAUAGUCACGUGUGACUAUGUGCAUGUACCAUACGAAUAAGGAUCGGCUAACUCCGUGCCAGCAGCCGCGGUAAUACGGAGGAUCCGAGCGUUAUCCGGAUUUAUUGGGUUUAAAGGGAGCGUAGGCGGGUUUUUAAGCCAGCUGUGAAAGUUUGCGGCUCAACCGUAAAAUUGCAGUUGGAACUGGAGACCUUGAGUGUGCAUAAGGUGGAUGGAAUUCGUGGUGUAGCGGUGAAAUGCUUAGAUAUCACGAAGAACUCCGAU
rnacentral:rRNA from 1 species